rnacentral:snRNA from 1 species
GUUUCUUUCCCUUCAGAACAUUCAAUAAAAUUAGAACUAUACAAAGAAGAUAAGCACGAUCUCUAUACAAGGAUGACACGGAUAAAUCGAAAAAUGUAACCUGUUUCU